rnacentral:rRNA from 1 species
GACGAACCGAGCGAACGUUGUUCGGAAUCACUGGGCUUAAAGGGCGCGUAGGCGGGUGCUCAAGUCCGGGGUGAAAUCCUCCAGCUCAACUGAGGAACUGCAUCCGAUACUGCUUGUCUUGAGGACGAGAGGGGAGAGUGGAACUUCUGGUGGAGCGGUGAAAUGCGUAGAUAUCAGAAGGAACGCCGGUGGCGAAAGCGACUCUCUGGCUCGUAUCUGACGCUGAAGCGCGAAAGCUUGGGUAGCAAACGGG